UUGGGGAGGGAGGGAGAAAGGAAGGGAAGGAGAAGGAAAGUAUUGUUAUAUUUUUGGAAUUGUAUCAAUGAAUUACACUGAAAUUGUCCUUUUUGUAUUAAUACCAAAUAUUAACAUGAGACUUGAAAAAAAUUAAAAACCAAAAAUAGACACUCAUAAAAAAUCCCCACAAAAUGUUCAGUACCUGUAUUUAAGCAUAUUGUAGAUUAUGUAAGAACAUUAGAAUAUCAUUUAUAAUAGUGAUACUUUAGGGAGGCGCUGACUAGUCGAAUACAGUUUUAUAGCAUUAAUGUAUAGUCUUACAAGUAAGACUCUUAACUUUCUUUUAAUGUAGUAUCUGGCUUUGAGUGGUUUUCUGUGUUCUUACUGUGACUGGCCAUGGUAGUCCUGAUCUAAUGCCCUGUUCAAAGAAAUCUUUCUGUUUUCAGGAACUGUAUUUUUAAGCUAUGUUGGGGCAGAGUAUUGAGAUUAAUUUAAGACCUUCUUGGUUCACAGUGUAGUCUUUGAUUCCAGGAGUGUGACCUCUAAUGACUCUCUUGUCCUUUUCUAAAAAUUUCCUUCCAAACCCAACUAGGAUCUACCAGAUCUUUAUUAAUAUAAGCAAAAGUUGGCAGUAUAUCAUCUAUACCGUGCACAUAUACAUGUAUGUAUGUAUGACUCUCAUGUUGUGUAUCACAAACUUGGGGUCUUUGAGUUCCAAAGGUAAGAACUAUUUUGUUGGAGAGAAACAUCUUCACCUAUGGUUUACAUGCUUUUACAUUUCUUUUUGGAAAAGAUACAUAUCUGACUUAACCACUGCAAUGCCAUAGAAGCCCUGACAAUUUCUGCAAUGCUAACAAGCCCUUUUUAUUUUAUAUUUUAUAUUUUCCUAUCCAUUAUCUUGGUCUUUAGCUCUUACAGACAAACUUAAAAAUCAUUUUGUCCAGUUUUCACUCCAGUGAAGGGUUGGCAUUCUUCAGUGGGGAACACACUAAUACAAAUCUAUGGAAUUUGAUCUGGUUCAGGCUCUUUUCUGAUUCAGACAUGAUGGUUUCUUUCUUGUACAUUCAGCCAUUUCUUUACAUACUUAUGCUAUGCCUUUUUUUUUUAAUAAUAAAGACUUAUUUUAUAUCCUCAUUAAUCAGAUAAUCAGAGCAUUUCCUUUCACCUGUGGCCUAAAUCCCCAGUCAGCCCCUGAUCACAUUCCGGAGGAGCUAUGUGUUAGUAGAGUUUUGAAACUUUUCCGUCCAUAAGCGCGUGUACACCCACAGGCGUGUAUACAGCAGGGGAAAAUAAUUCCCUUCAAGGACAGGAACACCUUCCCUGCCAUCAGGCAUUCUUCCAGCAAGGGGUUUUUGAAUCCCCACUUUGUUCUUGUGACAUUGUUUAUUUAUUUAUUUUUGUUUUAAAGGCUCACAGAAUGAGAAAUAUCUUCCAUCCAUUGGUUCACUCCCCAAAUGUCCUCAUAGCCAGGGCUAGGCCAGGCUGAAUGCAGGAGCCUGAAACUCAAUCCAUGACUCACAUAGGGGUGGCAGGAACCCAAGUACUUGAGCCAUCACCUGCUGCUGGAUUGGAAACAGAGCCGGGACUCAAACCCAGGCUUUAUGAUAUGAAACGUGGGAAUCCCAAGUGGUGACCCCACUGCUGUGCCAAACACCUGCCCCCACUGAUUUUUAAUCGACAUAUAAAAAUUAAACAUGCUCCUGGGGGCACAGUAAGAUAUUUGGACAUAUACACAAUGUGCCAUGAUCAAAUCAGGGUAGUUAGCAUACCCAUCACCUCAAAUAUUUGUCAUUUCUUUGCAUUGGGAAUAUUCAAACUUUUCACUUGUAUGUAUUCGAGGUAUACAAUAAGUUAUGGUCAACUGUAGCCACCCUACGGUGUUCUAAAACACUAGAACUUAAUCCUCCUAACUCUAUUUUUGUACCCAUUAACCAACCUUUCGCUAUCUCCAGUUCCACCUGCCCUGCCCAGCUCCUCACUGUGUUUAUUGAAUGAUAUCUAUUUCUUUGCUUCCUUCAGACACAUUUUUAAAAAAUGAAAGUUCACGUUGAAAUAAUGGAAUUUGUUUUAGAAAGCACUGCUCCCUGAUUCGGCUCUACAUUUAGGCUCGCUAAGCAGUGAGAUAAAUCACGUUGAAAGAAAACAGUCCUCCCCUGCAUCACGCUGCGGCUCAGCACAUACAAAAGAACAGACAUCGUUACCAGCAUCUUCCCGACAAGAUGCGGUCUGCCCAGGCCCUUCUUUAUUUCUCACAUUCAUAGUCUUGCCUUUUUUCUUCUUUUCUACUCUAUUUUAACUGUGCUUGGAUUUCCUAUUUGGUCAAUAACAUGAAGAUCCAUGGAUAAUCAAGUAGUAUUAAUUCGGAAGAAUUAGUAAUAACUACACACACACACACAUAAAAUCUGUUGUAUUGCUUUUCAGAACAAUAACCAAAAUAAAAGCACCCAAAAACAAACUAAAUGUUCAAGCAGAGGAAUGACAAAGUAAAAAGAUAAGAGAUUAAAAUAAUGGGAAUACCAGAAAGCUGUAAGUUGGUAAGUUGGGUACUAUUUUGAAACAUGGGGACAUGAAAUAACAUAACCAAGACAGGCAACAUACAAUGACCAUGAAUGUAAAGAUUAACCGUAACGCAUGUUUUCAUGUGUGCAUGUGUGUAUAAUCUUCAUGUCCUUAGCCGUCUCUCUCUAUCACCUAUUGUCUAUCUCCAUCCAUUCAUUAAUUCAUAUUGAGUAGGAGUGGUGAAAGAAUUCAUUAAAUGUUAAUUUUUUCUUAGCAAAGCAGCUUGAAUUGGUAAUUUCUUAGCAUUCUAAACUUGAAGGGCUUCUACCACAGGUAAAAUGUUCGAUGGAAAGCAAAUGUCAAUUUUUUUUUUUUUAAAGACUCAUAUUUCUAGGGCCUGCACUGUGGUGUAGCGGGUAAAGCCGCUGCCUGCAAUGCCGGUUCAAGUUCUGGCUGCUCUGCUUCCACUCCAACUCUCUGCUAUGGCCUGGAAAGGUGUGGAGGAUGGCCCAAGUGCUUAGGCCCUGCACCCGCAUGGGAGGCCUGAAAGAAGCUCCUGGCUCCUGGCUUCAUAUCAGCACAGCUCUGGCUGUUGUCACCAUUUCGGGAGUAAACCAGUAGAUGGAAGUGCUCUCUUAAUCUCUCUCUCUCUCUGCCUCUCUGUCACUCUGCCUUUCAAAUAAAUAAAUCUUUAAAAAACAUAUUUCUUAAUUUUUAAUUUUUUGCCAUGUAGAGUUAUACAGAGAGAGAGACAGAGAGAGAGAGUUACAGACAGUGAGAGAGAGACAGAGAGAAAAGUCUUCCUUCUGUUGGUUCACCCCUGAUGGUCGCUAUGGCCGGCGCUGUGCCAAUCCGAAGCCAGGAGCCGGGUAUUUCCUUCUGGUCUCCCAUGCAGGUACAGGGACCCAAGCACCUGGGCCAUCCUCCACUGCCCUCCCAGGCCAUAGCAGAGAGCUGGACUGGAAGAGGAGCAACUGGGACUAGAACCCGGCGCUCCAACUGAGACUAGAACCCGGGGUGCCGGUGCCGCAGCGGAGGAUUAGCCAAGUGAGCCAUGGUGCCGGCCACAAAAAACAUAUUUCUUAUCAUCAUGAUUCAUUGUAUUUUGAUUUCUUAAAAAGAUUUAUUUAUUUGAAAGGCAGAGUGAGAGAGAGAGGAAGACACACACACACACACACACACACAGAGCAAUAUCUUCCAUCCACUGGUUCGGUCCCUAAAUGGUUGCAAUGACCAGGACUGGGCUGAGCUGAAGCCAGAAACUAGAACUCCAUUUGGUUCUCCCAUGUGGGUGGCAGGAGCUCAAACACUUAGGCCUUCUUCUGCUCCUUUCCCAGGCGCUUUAUCAGGGAGCUGGAUCAGAAACAGAACAGCGGGGACACGGACCGGCACGCUGAUGUGGGAUACUGGCGUCAUAGGUGGCUGCUUAACCUACUGUGCCCCAGUGCUGGCUCCAAUAUUUCAUUUUAAAUGAAGGUGAUAUUUAAUUUCUCAAAUGAAUAAAAUAAACCUUGUCCAGAAAUCCACAUUUUGGUUUUUAGGAAAGAUAUUUCAUAAAGAGAAAACUGAGGAACUCUACAUUUAUGGAGGUUAGGCUUCCAUGAACCUCAACCAUCUGGAACCUGGAAGUGAGUUAAAAACAGGACUUGAAAGACAUGGUAGGGUGGGCUGUCACAUUUAACCCUGGCAAGGUACAGAGCCACCCAGAUAUCCCAGAAACCCACCAUGUCUGAGAAAGAGACAGACUAGAAGCAAGGUGAAGGGUAUGAGACAUAAAGAAAGCUGAGAAUAGGAAGACAGAAACACAAAAGCAGACUUGGAGACCCGGAAAUCUCUGCAGUGUGGAGUCCUCUGCUGCAAGGUCAGAGAGCUCUGUUGAGUUUAACAGCUCCUCCCCCAGAUAUUUGAGCAUCGUCAUUACUACCAAUAUUCUUUUUUCUUUUUUUAAAUUUAAUUUUUUUUUUAUUAGACAGGUAGAGUUAUAGACAGUGAGAGAGAGACAGAGAGAAAGGUCUUCCUUCUGUUGGUUCACUCCCCUAAUGGCUGUUACAGCCGGUGCUGCGCCAAUCCGAAUCCAGGAGCUGGUGCUUUCUCCUGGUCUCCCAUGCGGGUGCAGGACCCAAGCACUUGGGCCAUCUUCCAUUGCCUUCCCGGGCCACAGCAGAGAGCCAGACUGGAAGAGGAGCAGGGAGCAGCCGGGACUAGUACCCGGCGCCCCAACUAGGCCUAGAACUCAGGGUGCCGGUGCCGCAGGCAGAGGAUUAGCCAAGUGAGCCAUGACGCCGGCCCUACCAAUAUUCUUAUAAUAAACUAUAUUAUUUGCACUUUAUUUUACAAGGCAGAGAGACAGAGAGAAAAUAUGUGCAUGAGAUCUUAUGUCCACUGGUUUACUCCCCAAAUGCCUACAACACCAGGGCUGGGUUAGGCUGAAGCCAGGGAGCCAAAACUCAAUCCAGGUCUCCCAAGUGGGUGGUAGGUUCCCAAGUACAUGAGCCAUCAUUUUCUACCUCUCAUUGGCAGGAAGCUGGAAUCAGAAGUGGGGCUGAGACUCAAAUGCAGGCCCUCCAGUAUGGGAUGUGGACAUGUCAGUGGCAUCUGCUGUGCCAAAUCCCACCCCAAGAAUCUGGUGUUUUCUAAGAAUGCAAGAAUAUAAAUGUGUAAUAUUUUAGAAGGAUUUUUUUAAAGGUAGUUAUUGCUUUGAUGACCAAAACUCAGUUAUCUGGAUAAUUCAACUCUGUGAAUUGCUGUAUUUCUCUUAAUGCCCAAUAAAAUAUUCUUUUAGCUAUCACUGAAGAACAUUCUUUUGCUGACCAAGGGUUCUUUACAUUUUCUCCUAUUUCCAUGCUAAUAAGUUGAUUGUUUUUGUCCUUUUUCAAAACUCAGAAAAAGACCAAAAAACAAACAAACAAAAGAAAUCCCAAAACUAAUGGCAAAUAGCCCCUGGAGUCUAUAUCUUUCAUUCUGGGAAAAAUUAGCUUUGGCUUCCUAGGGCACGGUUUUCAUUGAAAAGAUUUUUUUUAAAGAGAAGAACUUUUCAGUUAAUCAGACUUGUAUUAACAAACAGAGCAAGUUGUCUCAUCUCAUUUCUUGAUGUUCAAAAAUUAAAUAGCUUCUGCAUGAUCUAAAGAUGAAAAGUCUUCUGAAGAUGAGAAGGCAGGUCUGCAAGGCCUCACAUGGUGCUACAGCUCUGGUUAAGGGCACUGCAUAUGGAGUUAUACUGCUGGGUUUCAGUCCUGGCUUUGUUAGUUACUAGUUUUAUGACUUGAGCAAGUUACUUACCUUUCCUAAUCCUUAGUUUCUAGUAGAGAUUUUGGGAUAAUCCAUUUACAGUUCUAUUUUAGUGCCUGUACAUGGUAAGCACUUGAUAAUUUUAAGUCAUUGUUGUUACUCCUAACUUUUUAAAAGAUUUUAGUUAUUUGAAAGGCAGAGUUACAGAGAAAAAGGGAUACACACACACACAGAAUGACUUUCUGUCUGCUGAUUUACUCCUCAAAUGACUGCAAUGUCCAGGCCUGGGCCACCCCAAAGCUAGGAGCCAGGAACUCCAUCCCGGUCUACCACGUGGGUGCAGGGGCCCACUACUUGGGGCAUUUUCUGCUGCUUUCCCAGGCGUAUUAGCAGGGAGCUGGAUUGGAAGUGGAGCAGCUGGGACUUGAACCAGCAGCACUCACAUGGGAUGCUGGCAUCGCAGACUGUGGCUUAGCGAGCUGUGUUACAAUGCUGCUGAUGAGAAGCCUUGGAAUGUGAUUCUUUUCCUAAUGAUUCAAGGAGAAUCUGAAGAUAAAGCAGAGAUCAGCUGAGACAUACUGUGCUCCGAGGCUGCAAGAAGAUGUCUAUUAGAACAUACGUCAUGACACUCAUAGAAAGUAGUUGGGAAACUGAAGUAUAGAGAGGUUUCCUCCUUAUUUGCAGGUUCACCGUGGUGGCAGAACCAUGUACAGUGUACACAGCCCUUUAUGUACACUGCAGACUGUGUACACAUGGACAACAGGAACCCCAGUGAUGUCCAGUGUUAUCCUCCAGCCAGCACCUUGGUCACCCUUUCCCAGUCAGUGUCUAUUGCUCCCUGUCUUUACUACCUUUUUGUUUUAUUUCAUUUUUGAUUGACACAUAAAAAUUGUAUAGAGGCUGGCCUUGUAGUAUAGUGGAUUAAGCUGCCACCUGUGAUACCAGCAGCCCACAUGGGCACUGGUUCAAGUCUUGGCUGCUCCAUUUCCAAUCCAACUCCCUGCUAAUGCUCUUGGGAAAGUAGCAGAAGAUGGUGCAAGUGUUUGGGCGCCUGCACCCACAUGGAAGGCCCGGAAGAAACUCCUGGCUUUGGCCUGGCCCAGUUCCAGCUGUUAUGGCCAUAUAGAGUGUGAACCAGCAGAUGAAGAUCUGUUUCUCCUUCUCUCUUUGUAACUCUGCCUUUCAAAUAAAUAAAUCUUUUUAUAAAGGUAAUUGUACACAACUGUGGGGUACAUUGUGAUGUUUUAAUACAUAGAUACCUCUUAUAAUGAUCAAAUCAGUAAUUACCAUGUUCAUCACAUCGAACUUUUAUCAUUUCUUUGUGGUACAGCAUUGAAAACCCUCUCUUGGUGCUGUUAUGAAACAUGUAAUGCAGUAUUAUUGCCUGUUGUUCAAUAGAACACCAGAACUUGUUCCUGUUUAACUGUAGCUUUGUACCUGUUGAACACCCUCUCUCCUGCCCUCGAGCUUCCUUGCCUCUCCAGGCGCAGUAGUCAGUAUUCUACUGUCUACUUCUAUGCGACUGACUUGUAUUUAUUUAUUUAUUUAUUUACUUACUUACUUAUUAUUUUUAUUUAUUUGAGAAGUAGAGUACAGGGAGAGAGAGAGAGAGAGAGAGAGAGAUCUUCCAUCUGGUUUUACUCCUCAAGUGACUGCAACAACCGGGCCACAGUUUGACUUUUGAAGAUUCCACAUAUGAAUGAGAACAAAAGAAAUCAGGAAAGCAGUCCCAUUUACAAUAGCUAUAAAAAUAUGUAGGAAUAAAUUUAACCAUGGAAGUAAAAAUUCUGCAGCCUAAGCCACAAACUGUUGAUAGAAGACGUUGAAGAAAGCACAAAUAGUUGUAAAGACAUCCUGUGUUAAUGGAUUGGAAAAAUGAAUAUUCUUAAAAUGUCCAUGCUAUCCAAAGCAGUGCACAGAUUCGUUGCAAUUCCUAUUAAAACACCAAUGAUAUUCUUCACAGAAAUAGAAAAAUCAAUCUUAAAAUCACAUAAAAUCACAAAAGACCCCCAAGUGGCUGAAGAAAUCUUGAGCAGGAAGGCUGGAGGCGUUCCUGUUCUUGCUUCUAAUGCCAUCUGCCCUGUAGCUGCGGCUGAUCCUCUCUCUUCUCAUUUUCCUCCUUCUCUUCCGUGUGCUGUUCUUUUUGUCUAUCAUCUCUGCUGUCCCUGUCCUGUACUCUACUGUAGGCUUUUGAAUGAGAGGUAUGAUUAUGGACACUGCAAACCAAUCCAUGCACAGUGUCUCUUUCCCUUUUCACGAUGAGCUGGCCCUUACUUGGGUGAUCAGUGUAAGUUCUUGGGGUAGGGUCUGGAGCUUUUGUUCACCAUCUGUCUCUGGUACUUAAGCACCACCUGGCCCACGGUGGGCACACAGCAGGUACUUGAUGAAAGAGCCCAUGAUGUGUGAUUUUGGACUUCAACUUUUCGCAGUUGUGUUUACACGUAGCUGAGUGUUCAGGGGGCUAGGUUUUUGCCUCCGAAAGAGGUAGUGAGAUGUGUUCGUGAUCUCCUUUUGAGUCUGGCGUUUUCCCAGAAUUCUAAAGAUCUGGAAAGUUUGUAUAAGCAAAAAGAGUGGUGUAAUUAUGAUUUGCAUGUUGUCUUUCAGUCAGCUGAUUAGUGAGCAGCAACCCAAGAACCUCCUAAAAAGAACAAACAGAUAAACAAAACCAAGCAAUCCAAACCCAGGAAGCUAUCCGAAUAAAGGGGAAAGAUCUGGACUCUUUUUCCCCAGGUAGUUUAUCAAAUGUACUGUCUGCUUAAAACAAACCCAUUAAUAUCAUCUUAAUAGACCCACAGUAUUUCUAAAAAUGGCAAAGAAUUAGAGUUUUUGACGAUCCUGUUGUGAACUUGUCACCUCUGGUAGUUUAAAUCACUUAAUUUUAGAGAAUAAAUGAGAUAUUUCGGGUAGGGGAAUACAGUGGAUCAGAAUAACUAAUUCUUGAGUGAGAAGGGACUUUAGAGGCCCUGUGGUGUGACCUAAAUAAUACAGGAAUUCCUUCCCCCAAAUCCCUGACAGAUGGUCAUGCACUUGUGUUUUUAGUGUCAGGAAAUUUGUUAUUUCAAGUGGUAGCAUAUUUCAUUGUUAGACAGUUUCAAAGUUAAAAAAUAAUAUUUUUACACAUCAAGACAAAAUUUCUUAUCUCUCCUCCGUCCACUGGUCCUAGGAUGUUUAUUAAAUAUUCUACAUUUGUGUUUUAGUGUAAGUUGGCCAGAUAAAUGGCUGCACACUUAAGGGAAGAGUCCUCACUGUUGGGUGCUUGGGAAGAAGUUGCUGGGGGGGGGGUGUCCCUGUCUGUGGAGGGGCUCACGUUCUAAUUAGGAGACAAGAUUAACUAUACUUUAAAGUAACUGACAAGGGACGAUCGGAUGAAUGGUUUCCUUAUGCUGUCACAGGUUUGCAAAUCUUGAAAAAGAAAGUUAGGAACUAGGAAAUAAACCUUGAACUAUGAAUAUGAUUUUGGAGGUAGCAGACUUAGGACAACAGGAGACAUGCAUAGUGUUCUAGUCAGAUAAGGAACAGAUCAGCCCCAUAGAAACCAAGGAUAAUAACAGACAUUAAGUUAAGUAGGAAAAAUAUGGAAGAACUUGAGAGCUCUAAAGACAUCUUUAUCGUAACCAGUCAAUUGCCUUCUCCUUAUAUUUUUCAAAUUAUGAAAGUAAUACAUAACUGUAACAAAAAUGCAAACAAGGCAGAAGUGUCUUAAUUAAAAAAGUGAAGAAAAAACUUUUUGUAUUCCAUUUCCUAGACCCAAUCACAGUUUUAACCACUUCAUAUACUCUUGUAUGAGGGUACUUUGAAAAGUUCAUGGAAUAUAGGGAUUAAAAGGUAAAUUUAUUUAGGUGCAAACUUUUGAAAUUCAUGCAUAAUUUCUCAUAAUGAUCACUUUCCAAAAACUUUUUAAAGACUCCUUGUAUCUAGGAGUCACCAAACUAUCACCCAUGGGCCAAAACCCUGGCCCUGCUACUUGUUUUUAUAUGGCCUAUGUGUUAAGAAUGAUUUUUUUCAUAAUCAAAUGGUUGGAAAAAUUCAAAAUAAUAAUAUUUCAUGGCACACAAAAGUUGUGUGAAAUUCCAAUUUUAGUGUCCGUAAAGAAGGUUUUGAAAAAAAAUUUUUUUUUGACAGGCAGAGUGGACAGUGAGAGAGAGACAGAGAGAGAGAAAGGUCUUCCUUUGCCGUUGGUUCACCCUCCAAUGGCCGCCGCGGCCGGCGCACUGCGGCCGGCGCACCGCGCUGAUCUGAUGGCAGGAGCCAGGUACUUAUCCUGUCUCCCAUGGGGUGCAGGGCCCAAGGACUUGGGCCAUCCUCCACUGCACUCCCUGGCCACAGCAGAGAGCUGGCCUGGAAGAGGGGCAACCGGGACAGAAUCCGGCGCCCCGACCGGGACUAGAACCCGGUGUGCUGGUGCUGCAAGGCGGAGGAUUAGCCUAGUGAGCCGCGGCGCUGGCCGAUUUUGAAUUUUGUAAACAAAGAUUUUAUGGGAAUUUGUUUUCCCUCCUGUUAUAUAACUAUCUACCAAAGAGCCGUGAUUCUGUGCUUUGGCCUUUAGAGUCUGAAAUAUUUACUAACUGGCCCUUAACAGAAAAGAUUUUCUGGACACUGAUACGUUGAUUCAAAAAAAUUUUUGGUAAAUAUACACACUCACACAUGUAUAGAGUGUUAUGUUUUGUGUGUAAAAAGCAGGAUUGUAUGGAAAAUAUCAUAGCAAACUUCUUUAGAUCUGAAACCACUGUGUUAAGAGCCACUGUUCCUUGUGAGGUUGACUGUGACUCAAAGUCAGAGGCCUGGAAAGGAAACCGUGGCUCAGGGGCCCUGACCCUGCGACAAUCCCGCUGUACAGUGCUGUGCCCUGGAGUCAGGUACCCACUGCAGACAGGAGUGGGCGAGCCAGACGUGAAACAUUCCACUGGGGCCAGUCCACGGGGCAUGUGGAGCCGUCCCAGGACCAUGCAAGUCACCGAAGGAGAUGAGGGGCCUGGAGAGGAGGAGCCCUUUGUUUCCAGGUGGGCACCGGGAGAACGCGGGUGCCAUGGGUGGGAGUAGUGCAAGGGACGGGGUAGUGAGCCUUUCAGACUUGCUACCUUUCCAGCAGUCCACACCACACCAAGCCAGGGGCUCCAGUUGGUGGCGGCUCCGGUUCCCGCCGUCAUCUGAAGAAUCCACACCCCCUCACCGUGUAGCUUCCUCUUUCUUGACUGGUUUAAUAAAAUGCAAGUUUUGCAUUUUGAAUGAAGGGAGUUCUGUGGGCCUUUUUUAUUUGGACAUAAGCAACACAUAAGUGUGGGCCAUUAGGUGACCGCUGAAUAUUUGGGCUUUAUGUUAAAACAGAGUCUGGAAAAGGAAUGAAUCCUGGGGACACAUUUAUCACCAUUUAUUUCCCUUCCCGGUGAGAGACAAGAGUUGUGGGUGAAGAAUAUCUUGAGGGAAGGAGGCCCUCCUUACACUGACGUCUGUGGGAUUUUUGGGGAACGGCUGAGGGUGUUGCCUCCAUGAGUAGAUUCCCAGGUGGUCGGUGACACGGUCACGGGGUCACACUGUGCACCCACAGCCCACGUGGGUUCAGGUGUGUUCGGUCAGUGUGGAGUUCUGUGGAAAAGAGAGGAAGUCCCGCUGUCCUGCUAGUAAGUGGACUCCAUGGCUGGGCCGGCUGCCCCAUCACAGCUCCACCUUGUGGAUUUGUGUCUCAGAGAACCAGGAUAGCUGCUUUUCUGAGUGCCUUUCACUUCUCGCCAUUCCAGGGACAUUUAGAGAGUUGCGUAGGCUUAGUGAGUAAAUGUAGCCUCUCCAUGAACUUAGAUUUGAACCAUCUCUGGGUGUGUGUAGGCCUUCCUCAAGUCUCCCGACCGAUACCUGAGAAUUUUAUGUAAAUUGGACAGGGGCAUGAGGCACCCUAAGAAGUGUGAGAUGGGCCUCAGGGUGAUUCAGCGAGAACCUGUGGCCGAACCUGUGGCCGCUGGCUAAGCCAGGAGGCUUAGUCAGGAAGCCUGGUUCUUAUUACGCCACCUGCACUGGUUUGCUCUGUGACGUUGGGUAAACUGCACAAGUCCUGUGUUUCCCCAGUGGGAAGCGAAAGUGUCAUGAUUUAGCAUCCAAUUAUUCCAAGUGGAAUGCGUGUGGGGAAAAAGCAAAAUUUUCAAAGCGCUUUGAGCAUCUAUAAAGAAGGAUGGUAUCUGGAUUUUCAGGAUCACUAGUGUUCUGUUCACUGUGUCUUGGUGAAGAUAGUCUUUGCCAAAAGGACACAAGUUGUAUCUCUUAACUCAUUGAUUUUAUAAUCCUCCCACUUACUGUUCGUGGUGCCUUUAGUAAUGGUUUUAAACUUACUACCUAUUUGGGGGGAUGUCAUGGUUCUGUUAGUGAUUCUGUUUCUUUUUAAGAAAACAUUUAUUUAUUUGAAAGAAUUAGAGGAGGACUCACACACACACACACACACACACAGGAGAGAGAGAGAGAGAGAGAGAGAUCUUCCACCUCCUCGUUCAUUCCCCAAAUGACUGCAAUGACUAUGGCUGGGCCAGGCUGAAGCCAGGAGCCAGGGAGUCUUCUGGGUCUCCUACCUGGGUACAGGGACCCAGGGACUAGGGCCAUCUUCUGCUGCUUUCUCAGGCAUAUUAGCAGGGAGCUGGAUUGGAAGUGGAUCAGCCGGGACUUGAACCUGCGCCCAUAUGGGAUGCCUGUGCUGCAGGCUGUGGCUUAACCUGCUCUGCCACAGUGCUGGCUCCAGUGAUACUAUUUCUUGUCCUUCCUGGAGAAAAGAAUCAUAGACUUUCAGAUAUAGAGGCAUUCCUUCCUAUGUUUUCAGAAAAAUAUAACUGUGACUUCUGUGACCAAAUGUAUUUUUCUCAAUGGGGGAAAUUUUUGAUAUCUGAAUGCAUAGAAUAAAAGUAAUACUGGUUGAUGAGCACACUGUUAUACAAAUGUGCAGGUGGGGUUUCUAAAUACCCAUCCUACUAGGACCAUACUCAUACCAGAGCUUCCCAUUGUGUUCUCUGUAGAGUAAAAUUCAGUGUAUACUGGAUAAAACUUUCAAUUUUCCUGGGAUAAUUUAAUUGGGUAUCAAAGAGGAUUGAGAAGGUCGUGUCACUGUAGUUGUGGUUCUGAAGGCAGUGUGGGGCUGUUAGGGAACUGUUCUCUGUAGCGAGACACUCUGUGGGUGACAGCGUGUUGUACCCCCACAGCGAGGCCUGUAUUGCACACUCUGAGGCUGUCUUGACAAUCCGGGGAUGGAAAAUGUCCCACUUGGGGUGUUAACCCAGAGUCGCGGGCAGUGUUUUCAGUGGAGCCCACCAAUGGCCCAGCAAAGGGCUGCUUUCUGGGAAUCUGGAAAGCAAUCUGUGUGUGUGGCUGUGCCCUGAGCAGUAGGUGUCACUGUAGUCAGUAGCUUUUACUCCCCGGAGCCGAAGGGGUUAAGUGGGUCUGGGUUAGAAGGGCAGAUCCCGGCCCAUCUGUGCCUCCUGGGGUGUUGUUCUUUGUCUCUGGGGCACUGGUUGGCUCCAGUGAAAGACCAAGUUGACUCCAUUUUUCUCUAAGAUGGGGAGGAUACUUUCCCAGCGAUGUUUUAGAGCCCAAGGCUGGGAUCUUCGCUGUCUUGGGGUGGGGUGGAUAACAGGUAAGAGGAUGCUUCCGAAGCUGGGUAGAGAGACCACAGAUAGUGGGGAAGGGGAUUCUAUUAAGAGAAGCGAAGGAUUAUGGAGCCGCAGCAUGCGCUUCCUUGUUGUUACUGGCCCAGAGCCCUGUGACCAAAGUGUGAGCUCUCGGAACUUGUCUCAGCAUCCUUCAGAGAAAUGUCCCUCCUUCCACAAAGGAAGCAAUGAGGGGGGAAAAUCCUCUUCCUAGCAGAGAUGUUCUUCUUUUGCCACUUUCCACUCCAGAAAGUCAAUUUUCAAAAGCUGAAGUGGAAUCCAGGAUUUAGAAAUAGCUGCUGUGUUGACUAAUUUAAAAAAAAAGAAAAAAUCUCAUGAGCACAGAGCCAAUUGCUUUUUUUCCAGAACGCCCAAUUUUACCUUUCUUUUCCAGUAACACCCUGGUGUGAAAACAAAAUCAGCCCUAGUAAACUCAUGGUAGAGUUUGUUUCAUCUCCUCUCUUAUUUAUUUAUUUUGCUGGGAUAACCCAUCUCUCUGUACCCAUCUCCCAUCCAGCACCGUGUGGUUUGUCCUUAAGAAAGCACGCACGAGGGCAAUGUAUACGAUUUAUGCAGAGACACUCAUUAAAAAUCACUCCUGCCUGUCCAGUCUUUGCUCUUCCUUCCAUCGCCUGCCUGUUGGUUGUUGUUAACACUCUGAUUAAGCCUUGCUCUUAAUAGUACAAUAUGUUCAGCUCAGACUGCUCUCUGGAGUCCUCCCUCUCUCUCUCCCUGCUCUCUCUUCCUCCCUCCUCCACUCCCUCCCCCUUCUGUCUCCCUCAGAGUGAGUGGCUCCUUUGAAACCGUCCGCACACGCGCUGAGCCAGGUGGCAUUGCUUCCUGCCUCUCCUGCUCGCUGUUGCUAAGUGAGAGGCACCAUAUCACACAGAAAGCUGAACCAAUAGCGUCCUGACCCCCAUCGGCUGGUAAAAGCUGAGGAGAGAGAAUCCCACAGUGUUGUCUGUGACCGGCGGGUCCUCCUCCCCCUCCCACCUUUUCUUUCCCAACAGGAAGGGGAGGUGGCGGGGGAGACGCUAGGAGGAAGAGGGAAGAGAGAAUGGGGGAGGUGAAUCCUAGUCCGCCUUGCUGUACUUGAGAUAAACGCCGCUCCUCUCCCUUUGUGAAGAAAAGGAAUGGGCGCUUCUCUGGUGCAGUCACGGGCAAACAGAUGCGCAGCUUUCUGCCCCCAAACUGCCUGUGUUGUCAGAGCUCAAACUCAGAAUAAGAUGUCUGUUGGCCUGCAGAUCUGCGCGUUCUCUACGCAUUCUCUUCUCUCUCUCUCCCUCUCUCUGUACGCACCCCCACCUCGGCGCCCCGAAUCUUUUAAUCCCCACAGUUUAACAGUUUUGUGGAUCUUGGCACCCCGAUCUUUCUUCCUCUUCACCUCUCUUGUUUCCUUUCUGUUGCACAGAAUGCGUUUCCUUUGAAUGUAAAAUUUAGCGGAAGAUAUUUUACAUUUUGUCUUAGGAGGAAGUCAUUAGAUCUUCCUAAGGAAGGGGGCAAGGGAGCAGGAGUAUUUAUAGAGGGAUUUUUUUUUUAACUCCGCUGUUAAGAAUUUCAUAGUUUGGCACAAGGUCUAUGCAAGCACAAAGUGAAAUAAAAGGCUGUUCUUCACUGGAUAACUGCCAGUGUAGAUAGCCAGUGUAUAGUUGAGAUUAUACAGAAGAAAUGACCUUUCUCCUAUAAUUACCUGGCUAUUUUAGGCAACAUCAGAACCAAGUUACCUGGGUAAUUAUGGCUUUGUAGAUCUAACCUUAGAACAAAACAGAUUCCGGUUGAGUUUUCCACGGAAAAUAUUUGCUGUCUUUGGUGGUGAAAGUCGUGAAGGUGCCCGCUGGUUGUGCAAUCACAAGCCCAGUUACAAGGAGACUUGCUUCAUUUCUGUGCCCAGUAGGUUCCCAGUAAAUUUCUCCUGACCUUUGGGAGAUGGCUUUAUUAUUUGGUCAUUUGUGUGCUUUUGAAAAAAAUAAGCCUUAAUUAAGUUCUGCUCUUAGUAGCACAAUGUGUUAGUCUCAGACUGCUCACUCCGUCUGAGUGUUUACUUCUGAGUCAAGGGUGGGUUUCCUGGAUUUCUCAUAUUAUGGCUAGAUACCAAAAGGAUGAUAUUCAUGCUUAACCUGUCCACUUCCCCCACCCCCACCAGAAAAUUUCCUUUUGUACAUGGAAUACUGCCUCACUACUAGGCCAGAAACCCAUCCCACUCAAGAUCACACAGAAAAGUGAUCUUUUAUUAUCCCAAUCCACCUGCCUUUCCCAGCCUGUGUACUGACUUUUGCCUUCUUGUUUGUUUGAAGUAAACAAGAAAUGUUUUCAUAAAGGGAAGUGUGCAGGAUCAGGUUAAGCAAUGGAGAAUUAAGGGUGAAAAAGCCUACCCAGUGCUGAGGACCUGGGAUGUUUUUCUUUUGGUCUUAAGAGCCUGUCUUCUUCUUAUGAACUAACAUGAAGUAAAAGACAGCCGAUGUUGCUAGCUCGUACUUAGGGCAUUUAAAGCUAAAAUUCUUAGAUAAUAUCUCAUUUUACCUGCUUUCAGUCUCCCCCAGAUUAAACCGGAGCUAGGGAUUUUUACAGGUAGCCAAAUGUUCAUAUUCAAGCAAUGCCAUCAUCUACUGUGCCCAUUUUGGGGGGGAGGGGUAUAUGACAAGGAAAUACUGCAAAAUUUGGUAAAGUUUAAAAAAGCCAAGAAAUUAAAGGACUGUGUGGCGAAUCCUGGGACCUCCACUGGUACUCCUGCUACUGUGGGUUGGUGGCAGGCUGUCACUCAUCACCAUUCUUCUGGGAUGCUCACCCUGUGCUGAGAGUGUGGAGUUGGGAGCGCAGGGUGAGCCAGACCCUGGCUCCCUGCUCCAUGGUUGGGUUUCAGCCCUCUGGUUAAGAUACGGGCACUGUGCUUCAGCCAAGUUAAACCUGGCAAGACCAGCUCUCCCGGCUUCUCUUCUUCUCCCUACUUUAUAAUUCUCUUCCUUCACGUCCCUGCUUUGCACCCAGCCCUGCUGCCCGAAUUCAGCACUUUCUCCCAAAUUUCCACUUGUCCCAUGUUCAUUACAGGCACUGGCUGUGGCUUCUCAGCCACACUGCCUUGCUAUCCAUUUCCCCUUGCUGUGCCCUCUGCCCAGACUGCGGCUUCUCCAGGGAUUUCAGCCUAUGGAAAUCAUAGCUGCAAAAGCUCAUCUCAAAUACUGUCUCCUCAGUGAAACUUUUCCCUCCACCUCUCCCACUCAGACCUCUUCUCCCAGUCCUUGAACAAGGCACCCUGGGCCGCCUCCUUCCCAUCUCUGUUUCAGAAUUUGCCAUCUUCUACUUUGAGUUGUGCUUACUUUGCCCUUGAUGGUACCAGCAGCCUCUAAAAGGAGGCCUUUAGCCACUCUGCUGUAUCCCCACGUGCCAUCAAAUAUAUAUAUAUAUGUAAAAAUAUAUAUGAUGACACAUGGAUUGAAUUUGCUAUGCAAUAGUUUCAAGAGAGUCCUCAGGUGCCCUGUGCAGUUCAGUGCUAACCUUAAAUUCCUCCAUUUUUUUAAAAAUUAAAAAAAAUUUUUUUUAAUUUGACAGAGUUAGAUAGUGAGAGAGAGACAGAGAGAAAGGUCUUCCUUUGCCGUUGGUUCACCCUCCAAUGGCCGCCGCGGCCGGCGCGCUGCGGCCGGCGCACCGCGCUGAUCCGAUGGCAGGAGCCAGGAGCCAGGUGCUUUUCCUGGUCUCCCAUGGGGUGCAGGGCCCAAGCACCUGGGCCAUCCUCCACUGCACUCCCGGGCCACAGCAGAGAGCUGGCCUGGAAGGGGAGCAACCGGGACAGAAUCCGGCGCCCCGACCGGGACUAGAACCUGGUGUCGGCGCCGCAAGGCGGAGGAUUAGCCUAGUGAGCUGUGGCACCGGCCGAAAGGUCUUCCUUCCAUUGGUUCACCCCCCAAAUGGCUGCUACAGCUGGCGCACUGCACCGAUCCGAAGCCAGGAGCCAGGUGCUUCCUCCUGGUCUCCCACACGGGUGCAGAGCCCAAGCACUUGGGCCAUCCUCCACUGCCUUCCCGGGCCACAGCAGAGAGCUAGACUGGAAGAGGAGGAGUCGGGACUAGAACCUGGUGCCCAAAUGGGAUGCCGGCACCGCAGGUGGAGGAUUAGCCAAGUGAGCCAUGGCACCAGCCCCAAAUUCCUCCUUUAUAGAGGAUCGGAACCCAUAUCCUCUCUCCUAUGGGUCAGUCAGGGCCAGAGCCGUGUCUUUCCCAUCUCUCUGUUCCCCAAAGUUCUUAAGGUGACUCUUUGGCCCCAGUUGGCUCUGCAGACAUAGCUGUUAAACUGUCCCGCAGUGACACCCAGGAAACCAGAAGGAGUAUGCUUUUGAUUCAUCAGGUUUUCAAACUAUGUGCGGAGAACAAGGAAUAUGUUUGUGAAUAUCUUAAAUUAGAUCAUGAGGUCCCAAAGACGAUAUUAUGGUAUUUAUCAGUCAGGAGAGGCUAGGUGGUGAGAUGGUUAACAAACAACUCCCUAAGUGUUAGUGGCCCCAAAUGUCAGAAAUUGACUUCCUGCUUGUUAAUCGUGGGUUGAGAGGGAAAGAGAAUGACCCAUUCUGACAAAACCAGCCACCACCCCACCCUAGUGAUCCGGCCGAAGGAAUGGGAGCCCCAGAGGGGCUGUCGUCAGCACUCGAGGGUUCCAGCCCAGAAAUGGCACCUGUCACUCUGCUCACAAUUUCCUGGGCAGAAUCAGUCACAUGAUAGCAUCUUACCACAGGAGGGCCAGGAAGUGCUCUUCUACCUUGUGCCUGGAGGACAGCUAGAAAUGCUGGGAUAAUAGCACAAAUAACUCUCACAUUGUUAUUCAUGCAAAACCUUCUAGAGGAAAUUCUGUGCUGAGUGUGGAAGCAGGAGAACAUUCACCUAAUUCCCUUCUUUUUGCAUAUCCUCGGCUCCAGAAGAUGGCCACAGCAACUUGUCCAUUAUUUAUACCCCUUCAACUGCUCUUACCAAUACUUCAGAGACUCUCUUGAUCGUGAAGCUAGUCUCUUAGCACCUGCUCAGGUUCACUUUGACUGUUGCCACAGCCAGGAUCACAGAAAAUCAGUCGAGGUUUUAUGAACACAUUCUAAGAAAUUAGAGCAUGUACAGAUAUUAUAUAUUAAUGCAUUAUGUUUUGUGUUGAAAUGCUGGAAACAGACUAACUGUCCAACAGUAGGGGAUUAGCUGUGUAAGAUACAGUAUAUAUGGAAAUGGAAUAUAUGGAGCUGCUAAAUUGAUAUUGUAGGAGAAUAUUAAUGAAAAAAAUGUUCACAAUAUAUUGAUUACUGAUUUCAUCAAAAGCAGGUCCUAGAACAGAAUAUCUAAAAUAUUAUGCUUUUAAAAAAUGUACCAGAAUCGGAAUCAGAAAGAAAACUACCAAAUAUGUGAACUACCGAAUAUGUGAAAGCUUACCUCUUUAUCUGUCUGAUACUAGGAGUGACUUUUGUACUCUUCCCUUGCUUUUGUCUUUGGUUAAGUUAGCAAGAAUAAAUCUCUUUGGCCUGUAACUUCAAGUAGCAUACAUGGUUUUACUUCUUGUAGGUGAGUAGUUUGGUGUCAGAGGUAAAUACAAAUGAUUCUCACGUGUAUGGUGGAAUGCAGCUGGUGCUAAGACAGCAAUUCCGAAGCAGUGUUCCUGUGGAUCAGAGACAGUGUGACGUCACUCCACAUGCGUUCGGGCCCAGGAUUUUACCAUUUCCUGCCCUUUCUUCUGCUGAGCCGCUGUAUAGAUCGUCCAUGGCAUUUGGACUUGACAUUUCACAGCUGCUGCAAAUCCACUAAGCAGGGACAUGACACUGGCACUGUGAGGCCGCUGGUAGCACACUGGCUUGUAAAGAUUUGCGAAAUUUGCUGAGAUCUUGAAAAACUGGCAUGUAUUUAUUUUGGGAUGAGACAGACUCUUGUGAAAUAGGGGCCCAUUCUGGAAGAACUUGUAGCACUCAUUCAUCUUGUGUUGUGCACGGAGCUAUAAUGCUACAGCUGUCAUCCACGCUCAAUGAGCGAUUGUCAUAUUGUCAGUCCCCAAUAAUACCAAACAAUUUUCCUUCCCCAUGUUGAAGCAUCACCAUUGUAAUAUAAUUCAGUUCAUAUUAACAAUGCUUUGAUGACAAUUUCUUUCCACUCCUCCCUCAUAGCCCUCCCUCUCUCCUUUUCUUAACCAGAGGGAAAUGUAUUUUGACAAUAUCUCCAGUGCUAACAAUUUUCUUCCCUUAAAACAUUUUGGGCCCAUAGCCCUUACUGAAACUGUAGAAAACACACCAAUCUUUUUUUCUUUUGCUGUCUUAGAGCUCUGUCUUGGAAUUAGAUAGUGCCUUCCCCAGAAGAACUAAAAGCAUGUUUACCCAUUUGUCUUAUUUAUUCUUAAAACAUUGCCAUUAAAAAAAAAAACAAAACCCGUGUUAUUAUUUCUUCUGUUAGAACACAAUUAGAACUCAGCUCUGUUCGCUCUAGGCUUUAUCAUCUGUUCAUUCAAAGAGACUGCUUAUUUUCCCGAGUGUUAACAAUAAUGUUGGUAACUAUUUACAUGACGGAAUUAACCACCCUAAGGAAUUUAUAUUCACUGAUUUUCCCUAGAGAGGAAAUUGGUUCUAUGUAUGAGUCUUCACCGAUUUUCAAGGUACUUUCCUGUCACAAUAGACUAUUUUAAACUGAUUGAGAGUGUUGUCUUUGUUAGAAUUUUCCCAAGAGCUAAAUCUAGGUGGGCACAGUUGAUAUGAUUAAAACACAUUGUGCAUACUUUGGUGAGCUGUUCCGGGUAGAAUGCUGCAGGUUUGAAAUAAAAAUUCUGUUGUGCCUGUUGGACAUUUCACCUAUCUCAUCUUUUAAUUCUUCAGCAGCUCCGUUGCUUGUCUGAAAACAUGUGGCAGACCCUGGGGAGAAGGCAAGGGUUGCAGGAAGAGAGGAAGCUGGAUGUCAGAAACCACUAGAAAUUUUUGUAAGGUCACGAAUCCCCCAGAUGACUGAUUGAAAAAUGCUGCAGUAUUGCUUUCCUGGACCUCUUCCUCAGCAUUCCUAUAAAGCAAAAAAAAAAAAAAAAAAAAAAAAAAGAAAAAAGAGAGAG